rnacentral:rRNA from 1 species
GACGAACGCUGGCGGCGUGCCUAAUACAUGCAAGUCGAACGCAGUGGGGACGGGUGAGUAACACGUGGGUAACCUCCCAUCAGAGGGGAUAACACUUGGAAACAGGUGCUAAACCGAUACUGAUUGAUGGACCCGCGGUGCAUUAGCUAUUUGGUGAGGUAACGGCUCACCAAGGCCACGAUGCAUAGCCAACCGGAGAGGGUGAAAAGCAACACUGGGACUGAGACACGGAACAUACUCAUCGGGGAGGCAGCAGUAGGGAAUCGUCGGCAAUGGACGAAAGUGUGACCGAGCAACGCGGCGUGAGGGAAGAAGGGUUUCGGAUCGUAAAACGCUGUUGUGAGAGAAGCGGUAUCUAACCAGAAAGCCACGGCUAACUACGUGCCAGCAGCCGCGGUAAUAC